rnacentral:rRNA from 1 species
AUUGAACGCUGGCGGCGUGCUUAACACAUGCAAGUCGAUCGGUAACGCGGGGGCAACCCUGGCGACGAGAGGCGGACGGGUGAGGAACGCUUGGGAAUCUGCCCAUCAGCGGGGGACAACCCGGGGAAACUCGGGCUAAUACCGCAUACGCUCUACGGAGGAAAGCCGGGGACCGCAAGGCCUGGCACUGAUGGAUGAGCCCAAGUCGGAUUAGCUAGUUGGCGGGGUAACGACCCACCAAGGCGACGAUCCGUAGCUGGUCUGAGAGGACGAUCAGCCACACUGGGACCGAGACACGGCCAAGACUCCGACGGAGGGCAGCAGUGGGGAAUAUUGGACAAGGUGGGCAACCCUGAUCCAGCGACGCCGCGUGGGUGAAGAAGGCCUGCGGGUUGUAAAGCCCUUUCGAUGGGGACGAAAGCUUCCGGCCUAACACGUCGGGAGUCUGACUUAACCCAUAUAAGAAGCACCGGCUAACUCUGUGCCAGCCGCCGCCGUAAUAC